GUUUUUUUAAAUAUAUAUUUUAUAUAAAUAUUUAUUAUCUAUCUAUGGUGUAACGGUCCCAGCCUGAGGGGACCGUUCCACUUUGUGUUUUCUGUUUGUCCUUGACUUGUCUUGUCCUUGUGUGGCGGCACGAGAGCUGACAAAACCAAACACCGACAACGCCACUCGGGGAAUUUCACCCAAAGAAUUAGUUUGAAUCACCACUUCAAUAUAAUGUUUAAAGGACACACAGGUCAGUUUACAAGAAGGCGCCAAAGACGAGGUUCAACUUUAAAAAAAGUAUAAAUUUUUAUUACAAAAUCAAUGCAAUUAAAAACAAUCAAUUUAAAAAUACCUUCACACCAAUAGGGGACAAAUAAUUAGGGCUGAGGCUUACCUGAUGGAGGGGGAAAGGGGAACAAGGAUGGAACAGGAUCUCAGGGAAAGUCACCCGUGAACACGCAAACAAACAGUGAGCACAGCAAAUAAAAAAAGGGGAGAGGCACAGCACACUGGAAGGGAGAUACCACCUUCAGCUCUCAGCCACUAAAACAUGAGGGGGAACACACAAACAAAGGGAGUUCACUCUUCAACAAUAAAGUCAAAACAAUAUUGCAAAAAUGAAAAGACCAAACUGGAAAAAAACUACUUCAGCCACUCUUCAGGUAGGUGGGCUAACCCACAACAUUCAUACACUUAGGGACUGAGACCUACAUAAUGGCCCCACAGAAGCAACAGAGAAUGGUUGGAUGGCGGGCCGCAACAAUAAACCACAGUUCAAAUAGUAGUCUAUUUUAACAUCAUGUGUAGGCAAAACAAACAGCUGGUAAUUGAGAUGCUCGGCAGCUAAUAAGACUCUCCGGCAGCUUCAGUCCAAUCCCUAAUGUUUACACAAAACAACAAUUAACACCAAAUAAAGCUAAAGAAAUAACUCCCACCUCAUUUACCCACAUACCGUUACGCAGAGUUCGAGUCGCUCCAGAGGGAAGACGUCCCGAGAAUGCAACGUGCAGACAACUAUCAGUGCUACUCGCUUUGCAUUAUUGUGUUACUUCGGCGAGUAGGGGGAGGUGAAUCUGCCAGCCGAAGAUCUAAAAUGUUUAAUGCAUAGUAAAAUAACGGCCGCAAAUGAUUAACAACAUUUAGUGCAGAGGCAGCCAAACCACCACCUUACCCAACGCUCGAGCAGACAAAUCACAGCAGUCACAAGCCGGAAGUGCAGUGUGCUCCAGUCCCCAGCAAGCAAGGCAGUGGGUGGACUACUGGCUGUUUUUAUACGGCGCUCCACCAUUGUGAUUGGCCGAAAACGCACAGGUAGUUAUGAGCUAAAACUCAUACUGCUACAAUCUACCGCAACCUUUUCAUCGUCACCUUUUCAAACGAUACCCUAGACUAACUCCAAGGACGAAAGAGGGCCACUACUUCAUUAGACACAGGACCAUGGGGAUUAAGCGCAUUGUCUACUACCCCUACUGGUCUUGGCAGGUGAUAGACAUUAGAAUGCUGGCCGGCCGUUGGCCGGGCUGUCCGACGUCUGGCCACUUCACCCAUCACCGGCUGGAAGGCAGGCAGAAAGACCGGAGGACUAAUAGGUCUUGCUGCUGCCUCAGUAAUCGGGAUCACAGAGGGGCCUGGCCCAGUAAAUACCGGGGCUGAUGGUAGGGGCUGUAUUCGAGGGGUGGUUUGGAUGACCACAGCCAUGCGAGUGGGAUUUACCGCAGGAACCUCUUGCCUCACAACAACCAGGUCAUCCCCGGACCACUCAUUCUCCGACUGAGGUGGGUCAACAAGGCGAAGCAGCAUUACUUAAAGGACGCGCGCAAACCACAGCCUUCAACAGGGCACAGUUAACUUGUCUGGCUUUGGUUGGUUCGUCCAUGGGUGCAAUAGUAUACACCGACCCUCCAUCUUUGGGCACCUUAAGGACCCUGUACUGCACCGGACCGUAGGCGUCACAAAGCUUAUGAUGGCCCGUGCCGAAAAAUCACGAAGCCAAACUAGCUGGCCCAUUUUAAGGGGGACAACUCUCACUCGCCGAUCAUAGUUCUUCUUACGCCGCUCUGCGGCAACCCACAGCCUCUCUGUAGCACCUUCAAAGGCCAGCUGUAAGCGGGUCUGGUGCUCCUGGAUCCAUUCGUGGACAUGUCCACCCACAGGAUCCUGAACUCUACCCAACAAGAAAUCAAACGGCAACCUAGGUUCCUGACCGAAAAUUAGGAAUAACGGAGACUCGCCUGUCGCUUGAUGGGGAGUGGUGUUGUAAGAAAAGAGGACCUGUGGCAAGCAGUCUCUCUUCCGAGACACUGGCAGAGUACGCAACAAAUUAUGGAGCGUCCUAUUGAACCGUUCGCAUUGGCCAUUACCGGCCGGAUGGUAUGGCGUAGUGCGAGACUUUUCAAUGCCAUAAAAAUGACAAAGCUGUUGAAUAAGGGAGCUCUCAGAGUGGAUACGGGCCGGAACUCCAAACUUGGAGAACCACUCCACCACCAAAGCUUGAGCCACAGUAGGUGCUCGUUGGUCCCGGGUGGGGACAGCAAGUGUAUACUUACUGAACACAUCAGUCAUGACCAGGACAUUCUCCAAACCACCCUGGGUGGGUUCUAACAUGGUGUAGUCAAUGGCUACAAUCUCGUUAGGCCGCGAGGCCAACAAGUGUCCCAUAAGACUAGACUUGGCUAAUCGAGAGUCCUUGGCAACUUGGCACCUCUCACAAGACUGACACCACCGAGACACGUCCGAGGACAUCCCGGGCCAAUAGCAGCGUUGGUGUAGAAGCUCUAAAGUCCUCUCUACGCCCUGGUGGCCGUGCUCCUGAUGGACCUUAGUCAACACCUCUUCCCUUAAGGAGACAGGCACUACCACCUGCAAGACUACUUCCCCACCAUCAGGCCGAAACACCUGGUGAUACAAAACACCACUUCUCUCAGCCAAGCGGUCCCAUUGCUGAAGCAACACCAAUACAGGCCGAGAUGCCCUUUGACGUUCUUCGAAGUUGGGACGCUGCUCUCGUCUCCAAAACACAAGAGCCUCCUGGAUAACUGAGUCAGCCUGUUGCAGGGCAUAAAUAUCAGACGUAGUGUAAUGAGGCAGGGCCAUAAUGGCAGUUUAAGUUGCCUCAACCAGCAUCCCCUGAAGGGCCUGCUGUAGUGGUUUGGGGAGUGAUGUGCCAGGAAGCAUAGCUUCCAUAUUUGCUGGACCAGGUGGAUACUGACGUGAUAGAGCAUCUGCAUUCCUGUUACUUCGGCCGGAGCGGUAUUUGACCUCGAAGUCAAAUGAUGCCAGCUGAGCAGCCCAACGUUGCUCUGUUGCACCAAGCUUAGCGGAUGACAACUGACUAAGUGGAUUGUUAUCAGUAAAAACCACACACUUAUGGCCCAGCAGGUACUCCCGAAACUUUUCUGUCAUGGCCCAUUUGAGGGCCACAAACUCCAAUCUCAUAGAGCUGUAGUUCACCAUGUUGCGCUCCGGGUUAGGGCUAGGGCCUCAAGCCCCGACUGGCAUAGGCAAUAGGCCUAACUUUACCAACUUGUUCUUGCGAUAACACUGCCCCAAGGCCACCAUGACUUGCAUCCACCUCCAAAAUGAAGGGAAGAGAAAAGUCAGCAUAAGCAAGCACUGGGGCACUUGUGAGCUUGGUUUUCAGUGCUUCAAAACUGCAAUGGCACUCCUCUGUCCAAUUAUCAACAAAUGUUUGCUCUACCCUCCUCUUGGACUUGGUUGGCGCCAGGUACGCCACGAACUUAUGUAAAGGGGCCGCCAUCUUAGCAAAACCUUCCACAAAACGGCGGUAAUAGCUGGCGAACCCAAGAAACGACCGCAGCUCUGAAACGGUCGCAGGGGGCUGCCAGUUAGCCACUACCUCCACCUUGCUGGGGUCUGUGGCCACCCCGUCACUGGAUAUCACAUGCCCCAGGUAACGUACCUCCUGCUGGAAAAAGGCACAUUUGGUGAGCUUUGCCUUGAGAUUCUCCUUUUGCAGCCAACUCAACACCACUUCCAAUCUCUCCAAGUGCUGCUGUAUGGUAGAAGAGAACUACAAUAUCAUCAAGGUAAAGCAACAAAGACCGAUUUUGUUGAUCCCCAAACAGACGUUGCAUCAACCGCUGAAAAGUGCCGGGGGCAUUACAGAGCCCGAAGGGCAUGCGAUUCCACUCAAAAAGCCCAAACGGAGUGCAGUUUUGGAUCGAUCUGCCUCAGUAACUGGGACCUGAUUAUACCCGCUGGCCUCCAACGAUUCCUCGAUGCGCGGAAGAGGGAAAGCAUCUUUCUGGGUUUUACAGUUGAGCUGCCGGUAAUCAACACACAUUCGUAGGGUUCCAUCCUUCUUCUUGACGAGGACAAUGGGGCUAGCGUAGGGACUACUACUCUCCCUGAUUACCUGUGACUCGAGCAAUUGAUGUAUAUGCUCUUUAACCACCUCGUACUCAGACGGCGGAAUACGCCUAUGGCGUUGCCUGACCGGCACGUCGUCUACGAGAGGAAUGUCAUGGGUAAUCAGGUUGGUGCACCCAAGGUCCCAGUCGUGGGCAGAAAAGACGGAAUUAUAUCGCCCAAGAAGAGACUUCACCGGACCCUGUUCCUCAGCAGACAAUGAUGACAGGUCCAUAUUAUCUAACUGAUCCUGCACUGUGAGAGCAGCAGUCUGAGAUGCCACUGUGGCCACACCGGCCGGCACCUCUGUGACUCCGGUGGGCAAGCUGACGACACGAACCUCAUCCAGGGUACCUACAAUGGUGUGUGGGUAAAGCAACACAUCAGUACACAGGAGUAAUUUUUCCAGAGUAACUUUUUUUUUCCUCAAAAAUAGUUGUUUUUAAUCUAUUUUGAGUGAACAGAAUAAAAUGUGUCCACAGAGGGGGAGCAAAAUUAAAGAGUAAUCUGGAGUAACCGUUAACUGUGACUCCUCCCCAAGAUUGUCUCCUCUCCCUGAGUGUAUUAUCCGCCAUUACGUUCAUCACGGCGAUCGCGACCGUUGCAUAUGUGGGUUUGGAAGAGAAGUUGAGCUUCUGCUGGACGUAAAAGUUGGGACAGCGACAUGUCUUCCAUUCUGAUGCUGGUUCACCUUUUGCCACCCUCAAGUCAAGGCCGCAAAACACCGGGAAAGAUCUCAGCGAGAAAAGCAUGUGAUUGUCUUGUGAAAUUCAUCAAGACCGGUACCAGUAUCCAAGGGCACUUGGAUACCAUUGGAGAGAGCCUCCAGCCAUAUCUGCUUGUUGUUGGGCCAAGGAGAAGUAGGGUCCAGUCUUGUUUUAUUGUUAUUGACAAACAUGCUCUACCCUGUAAGGCCUCUAAUUCACUGGCCUGUGUUGAUGAGCUUUUCAAAGCUCACUUUGUCUUUGGCACCUCAUACUGUCAGGAACUUACCAAUGUGUACAACUUUCUGCAAACCACUGUCUAUGACAUAGAUGUUGAAACCACCAAGGUGAAUCCUAGAGUGGCUGAGUUAAGAGCUAGAAUGCUCCAGUGAGCAGAUGAUUUGUUUCAUAUGUAAAAGGGGGCAUGCUAGUGCCAAUGCCCUUAUAAGGCACUUUAAGUUAGUUCAUGGCCUUUGUCCAGGCAAAAGUUUGAAGUUAAAAUGUGCUCAAAGAGGUUGUUCACAUGUUUACCAUAGUUUUUCUGGAUUACGAAAGCAUCUCAGCAAGUGUUGUGCGAUUGACCGUUCACACCUCGAUUAUGGUGAAAGCUCAUCCAACGCCAACUCCAUUUCACUAGGGGAUGUAGGUGUUUUACCAAACCAAAAUUCAACUUGUGAGUCUGUACUCCCAAAAACAAAUAUAGAAAACAGUUGUGCAACAGUGGUAGCCGAACUUAAAGUUGUUGGUGUAGCAGAGACAACUAUUAACUAUGUUGUUAGUGCUCUAGAAGAAGUGGUUGGAGACGUUUAUAGUCAAACACAAGAGUCUGUGAAAAAGAGCUUAUCUUUAGAGGAGCCCAUAAAAAGUUUGGUUGAGUCUCAAAUUGAUCAGUGUUUUGAAAAAAUGCAAAAUCCUUUUGUGGCAUUAAACACUGAGAGUAAGAGAAUGCAGUACUUUUCGGACAAAUGGGGGAAAAUAGAUCCUGUUGAAUAUGUUCUCGGUACAAGAUUUGCUACACGGCGUAAUAGAACAAUUGGAACUUUCGCCCAAACCAUUGUUAAGGAUAAAUUUGUAUAUAUACCAAUUAUUGAGACAAUACAGUCGAUUUAUAAGCACCCUAACAUUAAAGAUAUGAUGAUGAGGGAUUCACAACAAAUACCAAAUUUUCUUUAUGACAUACAAGAUGGAGAAUUAUUUAAGAAUCAUGCGCUCUUUUCAAAACAAAGACAUGCUGUUCAGAUCCAGCUUUUUUUGAUGAAUUUGAAUGCUCAAAUCCCCUUGGAUCAAAAAAGGGAAUACAUAAAUUAGGAGCUAUCUAUUUUACCCUUAGAAAUAUUUCCCCUAAAUACAAUUCGAGUUUUCUAAAUAUUCAUUUAGUUGGUUUAUUUCAUUCCUUAUUUGGUUUUGUAGAAUCUUUCAGUGCUAGGUACUGUUGCCGCUUUUGCCUACUAGAGAAAGAAGACUUUCAGACAGAGUUCAGUGAAGAUAGUCCAAAGAUGUCAGUGCGAACUAAAGAACUUCAUGCUGAACAUUGUCAGAGUAUGCAGAACAAUCCCAGUCUACCUUAUGUAAUGGGAGUAAAAAAGUCUUGCCUUUUAAAUUCGUUGCAAUAUUUCCACACCACUGCAAAUUUUUCAGUUGAUAUCAUGCAUGAUAUAUUAGAGGGUGUCGGACAAUAUGAAAUGAAAUUACUCCUUCAGCACCUGAUUGACAAUUACACCACACCAGCAGAAGUACACAGAAGAAUUCAGAGUUUCAACUAUGGCUUCUUGGAACAAAACAACAAACCUCCUGGUGUAGCAUUAAGAGAGGGUUCCAAUGACUUGGGCUUAAAUGCCACCCAGAGCUGGUGUUUACUGCGUCAUCUACCCAUUAUGUUUGGAGAUCUUGUCUGUCCUAAUGAUCAUCACUGGUAUUUGUUUAUUUUAUUGCUUCAGAUAGUCAAUAUAGUGUUUUCUUCAGUUAUAUCCACUGGUAUCACUAUUUAUUUGAAACACCUGAUUGCAGAGCACCACAGUUUGUUUAAGCAUUUGUUUCCUGACAAGAACUUGUUGCCAAAGCAUCAUUUUAUGGUGCAUUACCCCAGUUGUAUGCAGAAAAUUGGACCAUUGCUACAUAGUUGGUGCGUGCGUUAUGAAGCGAAGCAUAACUUUUUUUAAAAGCAGUUGAAAAGCUUUAAAAACAUAACAAAAACAUUAGCAAAAAACACCAGUGCCAAAUCGCUUACAUUUGGCAAACAUUUGAUCCAAAUGACAUGAAAUUAGGUCCUGGGAAAAUGACUCCCUUAAAUGAAAUGGAAGUUGGUGCUGAGAUUGCGGAGAAACUUAAUGUACCUAUGUGGACUAAGGUUCUAAAUGUAAAAUGGGUCAAGCGCUGUGGAAUUACUUACCGUUUAGGAUUAGCAGUUUGUGUUCAAGUUCAAAAUGAAAUGCCUGUAUUUCAUGUAAUCCAGAAUAUUGUUAUCAAAGAUGAGCAGAUCCUUUUGAUUACAACUGCACUAAAAACGUUUUGUUUAGCUGAACAUGUCAAUUCUUACAAAGUUGCACAUACUGCAGAAGCACCUUCUGUUUUGGAGAUUAGGGAUAUUUUGCACCACAAGUUGUUUGAUAUUCUUAUGUCUUAUGGUUUGGAUUCUGAUUUGUUUAUUGUACCAUAUUGUUUCAUAUAAUUCUUCAUCCUUUCUCUUACAUUAUCACUAUCACAAUUUUCUAUUAUUUUAGUAUUAUUGUUUUCAUUAUUUGUUUAUUUUAUGAUCACAAGUGAAUUAAACGGGGUGCUAAUGUUUUUAUUAUUUUAGUAUUGUUUUCAUUAUUUAUUUAUUUUAUGAUCACAAGUGAAUUAAACGGGGUGCUAAUGUCUUUAUUAUUUUAGUAUUGUUUUCAUUAUUUGUUUUAAGCUC
ensembl:lncRNA